rnacentral:lncRNA from 1 species
CUUCGGUUGAUGAAAAGUGGGGCAGUUGCAAAAAACCACGGCGCAAUUGCAAAAUAAAUCCGGAAGAUACAGUCACCGGAAAUCAAUGGUCGCAAUUAGUACUGGAUGGAAUUAGAAGAGAUUCAAGACAUUAACGCAGAGGCAUACAAGUUCUUGUCGAAACAAAUCCGAAGAAAAGAAUUACACGAUUAAAGCAUCGACUACCACUUGGGUCCUUCACCAUGGCCAACAAUGAAGGCUCUACACUUCCGUUUAAGAUACUUUGGAACGUUGGUUGGGUGUUCUUCGCAAGUUAUUACUUUAAUUGGGGCGAAAAUCAAGCAACGGUCGUGCAUCCAGUAGACGGCUCCGGUUGGGUUGCAGAUGGCGCUCUAGGACGUUACGUCGGACACGAAUAAAAGGACCAUACGAAAAUAUUUGUACAACCGCUUAGAGUCCAAUCAAAGCUUUGUCAUUCCAAUACUUCAUUAAGAAACGACCGGCAACAAAUUAUUAAUAUAAAUGUAAUUUAUUCAGAAUGAUAUACGCAAAAGAAUA